AGAAUUAGUGAACUUCGGUCGCCGUUGUUGCGCACCGGCGAUUGCCGUCGAUCUUGGGCGACCCAUGCACUCGGGGCAGCUCGGCUUGGGUUGGUGGGCGUCGUCAGGAGGAAUUGCGGGGCGGUAUACGGCCUGCGCGCAGAGGAUUCCUCACCGGUGUGCCAUCCUCGCCGUGCAAUCCGCACAUCGCCGUCGACGACGCGCCUGCGGUCGCCAAACUAAGGUGAGGAUCCUCGCCAAGCCUUCGGUUACCUUUGUGAAUACAGUACACCUAGAAUCGUAGAGGUCAGUGCAGUUGUGGGAGAGCGAUUGGUCGUCGUCGCGAGUUGUCACCGCAGAGCCGCUCCGCUGCGUGAGCAGGAUCCGUGCGCAGCUGAUUCCCUUAAGUGAUAGCUCUGUGAGAUUUGUUAGAGGAUCCUCUACCUAGAUCUCGAGUUGAGGGUAGGAAUCAGGGCUCUGGAUCACGAUUGGGUGUUCCUCCGGCGAUGCUCCGCCGUGUGGGGGUUUUGCGCCGCCGCCGUCGGUAGCAUUUGGGAAGAAAGGCGCGCGACCGUCCGAUGUCCAAGGAACGGCUCUGAUUAGAUCGCGCUUACCGGUUCGUUCAGUUUACGUGUCGACCGUCCGAUUGGGAUCGGAUGGUGGCUACUCGUGCUGGGACUCAUUAAAUCGGGACCGUCGGAUUGUUAUCUGAGGGUUCGCGCUGCGCAGGUGGCGAGAUCUAAUCUCGUGCGCCCAUCUCCGAUCGGGCGACUCAGAUUUAAUGAUACCCCUUCGCGGGUACUUUUUGUUAAAGAGCCCCCGAAAAAAUUACUAAUCAACCUGCCAUCCAGAGAGUACUAUUCUCUGUGUCUCGGAGAUCUUACGCCCGAGACCCCUGCACUUUUCAUAUUUUAGCGCCCAGUCCAGAGUAGAUUAAAAAUAGAGAAAUUAUAUUAGAAAUCCGUUUUUAAUACAAAAACAAUUCUAGAAACUUGUAAAAUGCAUAGAAAAUUCAUUUUAGAUCCAAAUUGAACCAUUCCAAUUUCUAAAAUUUUGUAAUAAUAUUCUAUACCAUUUAAUGUCUCUGUUUUGACAUGAAAACAGUAAGAAAAUUAAUUUGUCAUUUAAUUCUAUUUCAAGCACAUUAAAUCUUAAGAAAUUCAUAACUUGAAUUCUAUAACUCCAAAUUUAAUGAUUCCAGUUCCUGUGAUCUUAUUUUAAUGUCUAGAUUAUUACUGUGUAUUUUAUUUACAUGCUUGGUGUAAUGUUAAUUUUGUCUAUACAAUGUUUGUUUGUAUUGCUACGACUAGAGCGAGGACACGUGUCAUCUGAAAAGCAAGUUGGUACCUGGAUUCUCAAGUGCCAGGCAAGUUGUGCCCUUGAUCACUUCUUUUUACCUAGCCAUGUUCUGAUUAAUCAUAAUGAUCUGCAUAGGUUAAUUUUGAUGGGACCCAAUAGGUUACCCUAGUUUGAUUAUCUUUAUACCUUGUUUACCACUGAACUUUUUGGGUAGUACUUGCUAGUGCUUUAUGUGGUUUUGGGUAUGAAGAUACAUUAUUCAUGAUCACACUUUUAUUAUCUGUUUAUUAUCACUGUUCAUGAUAAGAUCAUUAUGUUAAUCGGAACAUGGAGCGACCACCCGGGAAAACAGUGCUACCACAAGGGUAUAAUGGAACGCCAUUGGCUGAUUAAUUAGGAAAGCUAGUGGAGGACUACCUUACCCGAAAGGGGCAAGGGCAGUAGGGGAGUGGUCAGUGUAGGGAGGCCCUCGGGAUGAUUUUGCUGCGAUGGCGGUCAUGCAAGGGAUUCCUGCAUUGGAGCUUCCUAUAAACUGUAGCGGGUUUUCUGAAGCUAGUGGAACUUUGUAAAGGCCUCGUAGUGUUACCCUGCCUCGCCUCCUCGGUAGAGGUGUAUGGGAAGUCGCGAUCCCUUGGCAGAUGGGUAACAUGACUUGUGGGUAAAGAUGCGCAACCUCUGCAGAGUGUAAAACUGGUAUACUAGCCGUGCUCACGGUCAUGAGCGGCUCGGACCCUCACAUGAUUAAUUUAUGAAACUAAAUUCAAUUUGUCAUAUGCAUUGCAUCGCAGGUGAUGUUGUUACUUUUGUUCUACUACUUAAUUGGGUUUGGUAUUUACUUAUACUUAGUAAUUGCUAAUAAAAUUUUGACCAACUUUAAAAGCAAUGCUCAGCUUCAACCAUCCUCUUUGGUAAGCCUUACACUUCACGUGAGCUCCCACCUUUGGCGAGUUCAUGCACAUUAUUCCCCACAACUUGUUGAGCGAUGAACGUAUGUGAGCUCACUCUUGCUGUCUCACACCCCCCCCCCCCACAGGUCAAGAACAGGUACUGCAGGAUGAGGCGCUUGGAGGAUGCUGUGACGAGUUCGUGAGAGGUCUAGGCCGUCGUCUCCCAGUCAACUUUGGGUUG
rnacentral:lncRNA from 1 species